UACAGAGGUCCCAAGCGUUGUUCGGAUUCACUGGGCGUAAAGGGUGCGUAGGUGGUGAGGUAAGUCGGAUGUGAAAGCUUCGAGCUCAACUCGGAAAUGGCAUUGGAAACUACCUUGCUCGAGGGUUUGAGGGGGGACUGGAAUACUUGGUGUAGCAGUGAAAUGCGUAGAUAUCAAGUAGAACACCAGUGGCGAAGGCGAGUCCCUGGAAAACUCCUGACACUGAGGCACGAAAGCUAGGGGAGCAAAUGGG
rnacentral:rRNA from 1 species